GGGGUACUGAGCAUAAUCAAACUGCGAAUGUCACGCCAACAUGCUCGGCAGUCAGACAGCGGGUGAUAAGGUCCGUUGUCAAGAGGGAAACAGCCCAGACCAUCAGCUAAGGUCCCAAAAUGUAUGCUAAGUGGAAAAGGAUGUGGAGAUGUACAGACAACUAGGAGGUUGGCUCAGAAGCAGCCAUCCUUUAAAGAGUGCGUAACAGCUCACUAGUCGAAUGACUCUGCGCCGAUAAUUUACCGGGGCUAAGCAUACUACCGAAGCUAUGGAUCCCAAGGGAUGGUAGGGGAGCGUUCCAUGAACGGAGAAGUACGACCGAAAGGACGUGUGGAGAUCAUGGAAGAGAGAAUGCCGGUGUGAGUAGCGGAACGUGGGUGAGAAUCCCACGCACCGAAAACCCAAGGUUUCCAGAGGAAGGUUCGUCCGCUCUGGGUAAGUCGGGACCUAAGGCGAGGCCGAAAGGCGUAGUCGAUGGACAACAGGUAGAGAUUCCUGUACCCGUAUAUAUGUGAAGGAAUGACGGAGAGAGGAAGCUGCAGCCAGCGGCUGGAAGAGCUGGUGCAAGCGAGAUAUCGGGAUGGCAGGCAAAUCCACCAUCCGAAACGAGAAGGCGUGAAGCGUACGGAAAGCUACGGCGAGUACGGAAGGCAGUGGAGGAACUUCCAAGAAAAGUUUCUAACGUUAAGUAUAUAUGGCCCGUACCGAAAAUGGACACACAUGGGUGAGGAGAGAAUCCUAAGGUGAGCGAGAGAACUAUAGCUAAGGAACUCUGCAAAAUGACUCCGUAACUUAGGGAGAAGGAGUGCUCAUAGAGAUAUGAGCCGCAGUGAAACGGCCCAAGCGACUGUUUACCAAAAACACAGCUCUCUGCUAAGCCGCAAGGCGAAGUAUAGGGGGUGACGCCUGCCCGGUGCUGGAAGGUUAAGGGGAGGGGUUAACGCAAGUGAAGCCCUGAACUGAAGCCCCAGUAAACGGCGGCCGUAACUAUAACGGUCCUAAGGUAGCGAAAUUCCUUGUCAGGUAAGUUCUGACCCGCACGAAAGGCGUAACGAUUUGGGCGCUGUCUCAGCUGUAGACUCGGUGAAGUCUUAGUACCUGUGAAGAUGCAGGUUACCCGCGACUAGACGGAAAGACCCCAUGGAGCUUCACUGCAGGUUGAUAUUGGGAUUUGAUGCAGCAUGUACAGGAUAGGUAGGAGGCAAAGAGAUGGAUACGCCAGUAUUCAAGGAGCCGCUGUUGGGAUACUACCCCUGUUGUAUUGGAUUUCUAACCGGACGACGUAGAGCCGUUGACGGGACAGUGUCAGUCGGGCAGUUUGACUGGGGCGGUCGCCUCCCAAAGAGUAACGGAGGCGCCCAAAGAUACCCUCAGCUUGGAUGGAAACCAAGCGCAGAGUGCAAAGGCAAAAGGGUGUUUGACUGCGAGACCCACAAGUCGAGCAGGGACGAAAGUCGGGCUUAGUGAUCCGGCGGUGCUGAAUGGAAAGGCCGUCGCUCAACGGAUAAAAGCUACCCUGGGGAUAACAGGCUGAUCUCCCCCAA
rnacentral:rRNA from 1 species